AUUUAGAGGAAGUAAAAGUCGUAACAAGGUCUCCGUUGGUGAACCAGCGGAGGGAUCAUUACAGGGAUUAAAACCCCCUAAACCCACUGUGAACCUACCUAUUUCGUUGCUUCGGCAGGCGGCUCCUGGGAGGGGUCCUGGUCCGCUGGGCGGACGUCUGCCGCGGGCGCCAAACUCUUGUUGUUUAUCGUACCGUCUGAGCUCUAGAAAAAUCGUUAAAACUUUCAGCAACGGAUCUCUUGGUUCUGGCAUCGAUGAAGAACGCAGCGAAAUGCGAUAAGUAAUGUGAAUUGCAGAAUUCAGUGAAUCAUCGAAUCUUUGAACGCACAUUGCGCCCGCUAGUAUUCUAGCGGGCAUGCCUGUCCGAGCGUCAUUUCUACCCUCUAGCGCUGUCCGCUAGGUGUUGGGGCCCUGCAGGCCGUCCCCUGCAGGCCCUGAAAGUCAGCGGCGGGACCGCCGGUGUUUCGAGCGCAGUAGCACACUUACGCCCUGGAGCACCGGCGGCCGCUGGCCGUUAAACCCCCAGACCACACAAGGUUGACCUCGGAUCAGGUAGGACCACCCGCUGAACUUAAGCAUAUCAAUAAGCGGAGGAA
rnacentral:rRNA from 1 species